rnacentral:rRNA from 1 species
UACUUGGAAUUAGUUUUAUAAGGAUACCUACGGAAACGCUGUAGCUAAUACUUGCAGAUAUACUUUUCGUAUAUCGUAUUCGUUGGCUUUAGCGAUAUCGUGUAUUAUAUAUCCUGUGGAAUCACAACGAAGAAGUGACGCGUCCAUUGUUUAAAUGGUUAGCGCGUACCAAUCGAGUUUCUGAUCUAUCAGCUAAUCACGAAGGUAUUGUCUUGGUGAGGCUAUGACGGAUAACGGGGAAUUAGAGUUCGAUUCCGGAGAGGGCGCCCGAGAGAUGGCGACUAUAACUACGGUUAGCAGCAGGCGCGAAAAUUGCCCAAUGCCGACAAGGCGAGGCAGCGACCAGACAUACCGGGCUUCGGCCGUUUUCACGGUUGAUGAACUGGAUUCGGAUCUCCCUAAACGAGAGGUCGAGAGGUAGUUUAGAUCAAGUUGAAGUGCCAGCAUUCGCGGUAAUACUUCCUCAAACGAAUGUAUGUUAAAGUUGUUGCGGUUAAAACGCUCGUAGUUGAUUAUCUCCCACGGGUUGUUGACCGGUUGCAAUAAUCCCUUGUUGGAUAUUUGCGGACUGGUCCACCGUGGCAUGGCAAUACUAUCUCUUUUUGUUAUAGUAUUCUUCGCGGAUGCUAUAAUUAAAGGGAGGUUGUCGUUACCUUGAGUAAAUUAGAGUGUUCAAAGCAGGCUUUUUUUUGUUUGAAUACCACAGCAUGGAAUAACUGCAUUGCGCCAAUGUUUGUUAUGGUUCGCACGAGCUGCACAAACUUGGUGCCGAUUAAUAGGAGCAGUUGGGGGCAUCCGUACUCCGGAGCUAGAGGUGAAAUUCUGUGACUUUCGGAAGACGCUCGACUGCGAAGGCACUUGUCCAAAAUGCGUCCAUUAAUCAAGAGCGAAGUUAUGGGCAUCGAAAAAGAUCAGAGACCUUUGUAAUCCAUAAAGUAAACUAUGCCGUCCAGGGCGGAGUUAGCCCCUAUGACGUUCUCUCACUUAUUAUAUAAGAGUAAGUUUUUAGGUUUCGGCUUAGGCUUAUUUCUUUGUAAUAUAGAAUGUAGAGACAUCGCUUAAGGCUGAUUCUGCCCUCGUGAGAAAUCCGAGAUUUUGGGUUCCGGGGCGAGUAUAAGCGCAAGCUAGAAAGUUAAAAGAAUUGACGGAGGGGCACCACAAAGCGUGGAGCUUGCGGCUUAAUUUGACUCAACACGGGAAACCUCACUAGUGUAAGACAGCGGUAGGAUUGACAGGUUUGCAGACCUUUCAUGAUUCGCUGGCGGGUGAUGCAUGGCCGUUCCUAGCUCUUGGCGUGGGCUGUCUGGUUAAUUCCGAUAACGAGCGGGACCUCCCCUUCCGUUUGUGCGGUUUCCAUACAAAAGGUAAGAAGUUAUUUUUUUUCUGUAUAUAUUAUAAAUACGUCCCUUUUUUUUUCUUUUUUUAUAGUAUAUGUAUUUUUCGGAAUAUGUAUAUUAUGAAAAAUUAAAAGGAAGUGGAUUGUAUUUUUAUAUACGAUUAAAAUAUUUGUUAUCUUUGGAAAUUUUUGUUUUUGCAGUACGGAGGGACGUCGCGUGUUUAACGCGAGGCAGGGAGGCCACAACAGGUCUGUGAUGUCCUCAGAUAUGCUAGGCUGCACGCGUGCUACACUGGCGCGCGCACCGGGCUUUAUAAGAAAAAUAAAAGGCAAUCCUUUUUAAGGAUUUGUUUUUUUAUUUUUUUCCUCUCCUGAGAAGGCGGGGGAAUCCUGAAUGCGCGCCGUGACGGGGAUCGAAUCUUGCAAUUAUGAUUCUUGAACGAGGAAUGCUUAGUAAGCGUAACUCAUCAGGUUGCGCUGUAUGCGUAACUGCCCUUUGCACACACCGCCCGUCGUUGCUUUUAAUGGAGUGCCAAGUGACUUGUGUCGAGUGUGCGUUCGGUUUUUCGUUCGUCGCGAAGCACUGGGAACUUUGUUCUCUAGAGAAAG